AUUGAACGCUGGAGGCAGGCCUAACACAUGCAAGUCGAGCGAGCGGCGGACGCGUUAGUAAUGUUUGGGGAUUGCUCGAUAGAGGGGGAUAACACUUGGAAACGGUGGCUAGUACAGCAUACUCUUGGAGUCUCCAUAUGGGAUUAGCUAGUAGGUAAGGUAAUGGCUCACUUAGGCGACGAUCCCUAGCUGGUCUGAGAGGAUGAUCAGCCACACUGGGACUGAGACACGGCCCAGACUCCUACGGAGGCAGCAGUGGGGAAUAUUGCACAAUGGGCGCAAGCCUGAUGCAGCCAUGCCGCGUGUAUGAAGAAGGCCCUAGGGUUGUAAAGUACUUUCAGUCGGGAGGCGUUACCGACAGAAGAAGCACCGGCUAACUCCGUGCCAGCAGCCGCGGUAAUAC
rnacentral:rRNA from 1 species